UACCGAGGUGGCAAGCGUUGUUCGGAAUUACUGGGCGUAAAGGGCGCGUAGGCGGUUCGUUAAGUCCUGUGUGAAAUCCCCCGGCUCAACUGGGGAACUGCACAGGAAACUAGCGGGCUUGAGUUCGGGAGAGGGAAGCGGAAUUCCGGGUGUAGCGGUGAAAUGCGUAGAUAUCCGGAGGAACACCGGUGGCGAAGGCGGCUUCCUGGACCGACACUGACGCUGAGGCGCGAAAGCUAGGGGAGCAAACGGG
rnacentral:rRNA from 1 species